rnacentral:rRNA from 1 species
UACGGGGGGGGUAAGCGUUGUUCGGAAUUACUGGGCGUAAAGGGCUCGUAGGCGGCCAACUAAGUCAGACGUGAAAUCCCUCAGCUUAACUGGGGAACUGCGUCUGAUACUGGAUGGCUUGGAUUCGGGAGAGGAAUGCGGAAUUCCAGGUGUAGCGGUGAAAUGCGUAGAUAUCGGAAGGAACAUCAGUGGCGAAAGCGGCUUCCUGGACCAGCACCGACGUUCAGGCACGAAAGCGUGGGGAGCAAACAGG